rnacentral:lncRNA from 1 species
GGUGAUGCGACAUGGGCUUGACCCAUGCAUGGCUGAUAAAUGGGGUGAUGUGACUGAACAACAAAAUUAUAUGUAGGUCUGCACAGAUGGAAUUAAUUGACAUUUUUCAGCUUGGAUCCUAGGCAGAGAUCAUCCAUCUGAUUCUUGAUCAUUCUUCGAAGUAAGCGGUCAAAGGUUCAUAUCUUUAAGUGAUAUGCUGGCCGUA